ACCUGGUGACGGUUGAGGAAAUUGAAUUUGGUAUCAUGGAGAAGCCGCGGGGCACUGAGGAGACGCCAUCUUCAGAGCCAAUGGAAGAGGAGGAAGAUGAUGACUUGGAACUCUUCGGAGGCUACGAUAGCUUCCGGAGUUACAACAGCAGUGCGGGCAGUGAGAGCAGCUCCUACUUGGAGGAGUCAAGUGAAGCAGAAAAUGAGGAUCGGGAAGCAGGGGAGCUGCCCACCUCACCUCUGCAUCUGUUCAGCUCUGCGAAUAACCGCGCCUUGGAUGGCAGUGGUUCUGAGCCAGGUGCUUUCACAGUGGCCUCAAAGAGAGAGAGGAGGCAGGAGGCUGUGGAAGAAUCGGGGAUGUGGGCGGAGCCAUCCAGACUGUCCUUAAGGGUCAUUUUCUCUCUGCAGUCUGGUUUCCAAGUCUUGUUCUCCAAGUCUUGUGUUUGCUCAGCGCUUGUUAAAUUCCAUUCUAUGUGGACUAGGCUAGGCAGUCCCCGAGUCUGGAUCUGAAGACAGUGAGACUCAGU
rnacentral:lncRNA from 1 species